GGUUAAGCGACUAAGCGUACACGGUGGAUGCCCUGGCAGUCAGAGGCGAUGAAGGACGUGCUAAUCUGCGAAAAGCGUCGGUAAGGUGAUAUGAACCGUUAUAACCGGCGAUGUCCGAAUGGGGAAACCCAGUGCAAUUCGUUGCACUAUCGUUAACUGAAUACAUAGGUUAACGAGGCGAACCGGGGGAACUGAAACAUCUAAGUACCCCGAGGAAAAGAAAUCAACCGAGAUUCCCCCAGUAGCGGCGAGCGAACGGGGAGCAGCCCAGAGUCUGAAUCAGCUUGUGUGUUAGUGGAACGGUCUGGAAAGUCCGACGGUACAGGGUGAUAGUCCCGUACACCAAAAUGCACAGGCUGUGAACUCGAAGAGUAGGGCGGGACACGUGGUAUCCUGUCUGAAUAUGGGGGGACCAUCCUCCAAGGCUAAAUACUCCUGACUGACCGAUAGUGAACCAGUACCGUGAGGGAAAGGCGAAAAGAACCCCGGCGAGGGGAGUGAAAAAGAACCUGAAACCGUGUACGUACAAGCAGUGGGAGCACCUUCGGGUGUGACUGCGUACCUUUUGUAUAAUGGGUCAGCGACUUAUAUUCUGUAGCAAGGUUAACCGUAUAGGGGAGCCGCAGGGAAACCGAGUCUUAACUGGGCGUUAAGUUGCAGGGUAUAGACCCGAAACCCGGUGAUCUAGCCAUGGGCAGGUUGAAGGUUGGGUAACACUAACUGGAGGACCGAACCGACUAAUGUUGAAAAAUUAGCGGAUGACUUGUGGCUGGGGGUGAAAGGCCAAUCAAACCGGGAGAUAGCUGGUUCUCCCCGAAAGCUAUUUAGGUAGCGCCUCGUGAACUCAUCUUCGGGGGUAGAGCACUGUUUCGGCUAGGGGGUCAUCCCGACUUACCAACCCGAUGCAAACUACGAAUACCGAAGAAUGUUAUCACGGGAGACACACGGCGGGUGCUAACGUCCGUCGUGAAGAGGGAAACAACCCAGACCGCCAGCUAAGGUCCCAAAGUCAUGGUUAAGUGGGAAACGAUGUGGGAAGGCACAGACAGCCAGGAUGUUGGCUUAGAAGCAGCCAUCAUUUAAAGAAAGCGUAAUAGCUCACUGGUCGAGUCGGCCUGCGCGGAAGAUGUAACGGGGCUAAACCAUGCACCGAAGCUGCGGCAGCGACACGAUGUGUUGUUGGGUAGGGGAGCGUUCUGUAAGCCUGCGAAGGUGACCUGUGAGGGUUGCUGGAGGUAUCAGAAGUGCGAAUGCUGACAUAAGUAACGAUAAAGCGGGUGAAAAGCCCGCUCGCCGGAAGACCAAGGGUUCCUGUCCAACGUUAAUCGGGGCAGGGUGAGUCGACCCCUAAGGCGAGGCCGAAAGGCGUAGUCGAUGGGAAACAGGUUAAUAUUCCUGUACUUGGUGUUACUGCGAAGGGGGGACGGAGAAGGCUAUGUUAGCCGGGCGACGGUUGUCCCGGUUUAAGCAUGUAGGCUGGUUAUCCAGGCAAAUCCGGAUAAUCAAGGCUGAGGUGUGAUGACGAGGCACUACGGUGCUGAAGUAACAAAUGCCCUGCUUCCAGGAAAAGCCUCUAAGCAUCAGGUAACAUCAAAUCGUACCCCAAACCGACACAGGUGGUCAGGUAGAGAAUACCAAGGCGCUUGAGAGAACUCGGGUGAAGGAACUAGGCAAAAUGGUGCCGUAACUUCGGGAGAAGGCACGCUGGUGUGUAGGUGAAGUCCCUGCGGAUGGAGCUGAGACCAGUCGAAGAUACCAGCUGGCUGCAACUGUUUAUUAAAAACACAGCACUGUGCAAACACGAAAGUGGACGUAUACGGUGUGACGCCUGCCCGGUGCCGGAAGGUUAAUUGAUGGGGUUAUCCGUAAGGAGAAGCUCUUGAUCGAAGCCCCGGUAAACGGCGGCCGUAACUAUAACGGUCCUAAGGUAGCGAAAUUCCUUGUCGGGUAAGUUCCGACCUGCACGAAUGGCGUAAUGAUGGCCAGGCUGUCUCCACCCGAGACUCAGUGAAAUUGAACUCGCUGUGAAGAUGCAGUGUACCCGCGGCAAGACGGAAAGACCCCGUGAACCUUUACUAUAGCUUGACACUGAACAUUGAGCCUUGAUGUGUAGGAUAGGUGGGAGGCUUUGAAGCGUGGACGCCAGUCUGCGUGGAGCCAACCUUGAAAUACCACCCUUUAAUGUUUGAUGUUCUAACGUUGGCCCCUUAUCGGGGUUGCGGACAGUGUCUGGUGGGUAGUUUGACUGGGGCGGUCUCCUCCCAAAGCGUAACGGAGGAGCACGAAGGUUAGCUAAUCCUGGUCGGACAUCAGGAGGUUAGUGCAAUGGCAUAAGCUAGCUUGACUGCGAGCGUGACGGCGCGAGCAGGUGCGAAAGCAGGUCAUAGUGAUCCGGUGGUUCUGAAUGGAAGGGCCAUCGCUCAACGGAUAAAAGGUACUCCGGGGAUAACAGGCUGAUACCGCCCAAGAGUUCAUAUCGACGGCGGUGUUUGGCACCUCGAUGUCGGCUCAUCACAUCCUGGGGCUGAAGUAGGUCCCAAGGGUAUGGCUGUUCGCCAUUUAAAGUGGUACGCGAGCUGGGUUUAGAACGUCGUGAGACAGUUCGGUCCCUAUCUGCCGUGGGCGCUGGAGAAUUGAGGGGGGCUGCUCCUAGUACGAGAGGACCGGAGUGGACGCAUCACUGGUGUUCGGGUUGUCAUGCCAAUGGCACUGCCCGGUAGCUAAAUGCGGAAGAGAUAAGUGCUGAAAGCAUCUAAGCACGAAACUUGCCCCGAGAUGAGUUCUCCCUGAGACUUUAAGUCUCCUGAAGGAACGUUAAAGACGAUGACGUUGAUAGGCCGGGUGUGUAAGCGCAGCGAUGCGUUGAGCUAACCGGUACUAAUGAACCGUGAGGCUUAACCUU
rnacentral:rRNA from 1 species